GACGAACGCUGGCGGCGUGCUUAACACAUGCAAGUCGAACGGAAAGGCCCUGCUUUUGUGGGGUGCUCGAGGGGCGAACGGGUGAGUAACACGGGAGUAACCUGCCCUUGACUUUGGGAUAACUUCAGGAAACUGGGGCUAAUACCGGAUAGGAGCUCCUGCUGCAUGGUGGGGGUUGGAAAGUUUCGGCGGUGGGGGAUGGACUCGCGGCUUAUCAGCUUGUGGGUGGGGUAGUGGCUUACCAAGGCUUUGACGGGUAGCCGGCCUGAGAGGGUGACCGGCCACAUUGGGACUGAGAUACGGACCAGACUCCUACGGGAGGCAGCAGUGGGGAAUAUUGCACAAUCGGCGGAAGCCUGAUGCAGCAACGCCGCGUGCGGGAUGACGGCCUUCGGGUUGUAAACCGCUUUAGCCUGUGACGAAGCGUGAGUGACGGUAAUGGGUAAAGAAGCACCGGCUAACUACGUG
rnacentral:rRNA from 1 species